rnacentral:RNase_P_RNA from 1 species
CAAGGAGACCGGGCGGCCGCUCUGACGGCGAAAGCCGGCGGGGAGGAAAGUCCGAGCUCCACCGGGCAGGGUGCUGGGUAACGCCCAGACGGGGCAACCCGAUAGAUAGUGCCACAGAAACAUACCGUCCCGAUAGGCAUUCCUAUUGGGAUAAGGGUGAAAUCGUGAGGUAAGAGCUCACGGCCUCAGAUGGUGACAUCGGAGGCGGGUAAACCUCACCUGGAGCAAGGCCAAAUAGAGGGACACAAGGUGCCCGGCCUGUCCCUGGGUUGGCCGCUGGAGCCCUGCGGUAACGCUGGGCCAAGAUAGAUGGUCGCCCCCCGAUCACAUCGGGGACAAAACUCGGCUUACAGGUCUCCUUGGCCC